CAACCAUUCACAAGCACGGGCCAUAAAUGACCGAGUUGAACACCACAUUAAGCACUGCAUUCUCAAAAAAACACCAUCGACUCUGGAGCACAGCCAAAAUGCCAGGAACGAAAGGUAAUAAGUCAGACAAGAAGUCAACUACCAAGCAACCUCAGAGUCCUAAAGAGCAGCCGAAGAAAGGUGAUCAGAAAGGAGAUGAUAACAAGAAGCAAGGAGGACAGCCGAAGGGAGAGAAGCAAUAACUUCCAGGCAUUUGUGAAGAUGGCUUUGGAGACACUGCUGGGGUCCUGCCGUCGUAAACAUGGGGGUCCUCGGGGCAGACAGGGAUGAGUGCACCUCCCCUCCCCUCCGCUCUUUUCCCCCAGAGCCUGCAGACUGUGCUGUUGUGUGGCCUGGCAAUACAGCAUAUGCUCACCUCUUGCAGAGGCAAAAAAAAAAAGAACCUGAUCUCCAUCACCAUCUGUUGUUAAACAUUCACCAUUCUCACACUGUCCACUUUAGCUUAUUGGAUGCUCAGAAACAGACUCCAGGUUUGACCAGUUCUUUGCUUUGAGCAAAAAAAAAA